rnacentral:lncRNA from 1 species
CAGUUUUCGGAGUCAGACCGCCCUGUGUGACAGACCCAGCUCAGCCCCUUUCUAACCAUGUGCAUGGGAGAAGUCACUCAGCUGCUCCGAGCUGCUGCUGCUUUGUCUUUUCUUCGUAUUUGCGUAUUUAUUUAUUUUUAUUUACUUUUGGCUGUGCUGGGUCUUCAUUGCCGCGCGGGCUUUCUCUGGUUGCCACGAGUGGGGGCUACUCGCUAGCUGUGGCACGUGGGCUUCUCAUUGCAGUGGCCUCUCUUACUGAGGAGCACAGGCUCUAGGGCGCACCGGCUUCAGGGUGCUUAGGCUUAGUUGCCCCCUCUGCAUGUGGAAUUGUCCUGGACCAGGGGCAUGUCCUGGUCCCCUGUCCAAACCCAUGUCCCCUGCACUGGCAGGCGGAUCCCUAACUACCAGGACCACCAAGGAAGUCCUCUUUGUCUUUUAAUGCUGUUGUGAGUCAUCAGAGACUGGGCAUAUGAAGGUGCUCGGCACAGUGUCUGAAGUAUGUUGGCAGCUCCACGAUGGGGCCCGGUUUUAUGGCUGGCUGAGUUCUUCCUGGAGGUGGGCGUCCAUCCCUUCAGGCCAGGGUGGAGGCUCAGAACGUCUGGAAGAAGUGACCCCGCGGAGCCAGAGUCAGAGCCCAACACAGACCUUCUCCUCUCAAAGAGCUUGAGAGCACAAGAUGCAGGAGAGGAGAACUGAGGCACAGAUCGGCCAAGCAGCACAAGGAAGAAUCCAUCUGUGACCUAGAUGCCACCUCCCAACUUCCAGACAGCCCCGGUGCGCUGGGGGCAGAGCGCAUGGUGCUCCAGGGCAGCAGGAUUUCAGACACUGCUUCCAGGCUGAAGACUCUCUGCGAAGCCUUUGUACACUUUCAUCGUCAACAAUAACAGCAACAGCACCUAAUGCUUUGGCUCUUCCUACGUGACCAUGGCCUGCGGUCGGGUCCUCAGGGUUCAAGACCCCACAAGUCACACAUGUGGCCUGAGAAAAAGAGUACGGUGCACAGAGCAUCCUUGGAGAAUGCAGCGGACAUCGAUGUUUUAUUUACGUGGCUCAGCUCCCAUCUCCUGGGAACAGCAGACACACCCGGAUGCACCUGUUCUCCCCUGCCCCAACUUCAAUAUGUCAGCCUUCCC